UCUGCACCUCUGACAAAAGAGACGCAAAAUAACAACAACAUAGAACAGCACCACCUUCUACUUCGGCAGACGAUCUAGAUCUGUCUAGGUCUAGAGUCUAGUCAAGAAUGAGCUCUGUGGAGAAAUGUGGUUUAAUAAAUCGGUAGUUAAGUUACGAAUGCAGACCUGGACAUUCCUCAGUGAUCUUGUAGAUAUAUAGGCCCUAUCUCUGCCUGCCUUGAAGGGAUCUCAAUCAGUUGAAACCGAAUCACCAGAAGACCAGCUUUGUGACAAGGCUCACUACCACGUGGCAUGGCAACCAUGUGGUCAUUCAGUUUUCUGUUGGUUCUGUCCGGGCUGGUAGCUAUAUCAAAAUGUG
rnacentral:sRNA from 1 species